rnacentral:rRNA from 1 species
UACGUAGGGGGCAAGCGUUGUCCGGAUUUAUUGGGCGUAAAGAGCGUGUAGGCGGCCAAGCAGGUCCGCUGUGAAAACUCGAGGCUCAACCUCGAGACGUCGGUGGAAACCGUUUGGCUAGAGUCCGGAAGAGGAGAGUGGAAUUCCCGGUGUAGCGGUGAAAUGCGUAGAUAUCUGGAGGAAUACCGGUGGCGAAGGCGGCAUCCUGGACCGACAUUGACGCUGAGGAGCGAAAGCCAGGGGAGCAAACGGG